CAAUAUCUGAGUACAAACAUAAGUUAAACAAGGAUGCCUUAAGAAGGCUAGCACAAAAGCAACAACGAUCGAAGAGGCAAGGCCUCCUGCCUGGGACCUCCUAACUACUCCUGGUCGUCAGCGGCCUUCACGUAGCAGCAUCCAUCGGCGAUGGCAUCUGGCUCCAAGGGUCCACCAUCUGGUUGCAUCAACUGAAAAUAAGAAAGAAGGGGGAAAAGGGGGUAGCAAAGCAACCAUGAGUACUCAUCCAAAGUACUCGCAAGCAUCAGAUCUAUACUAAGUAUGCACUGGUAUCAAAUGGAAGGUUUGUAUAUGUGGACUGAAUUGCAGAAUGCCAGAAUAGAGGGGGAAGGCCUAGCCUAUCGAAGACUAGCAUCUUCAAGCAGCUCCAAGCAUCUUGCAGCAAGUAGAAGAGUAAAGAAUAGUAGUUUAUAUUUAACAAGCAUGUUGUAACAUUGAUGCCCAGAGAUCCUUCCUCGACUCCCUGCGAAAAAGAAAUCCCGGAGCCACAUAUCUCAAGUAUCCAUUUGUAGUUGUAUAAGAUCAGGAUAUAAGUCUGAACGUCCAUUACCGUGGACACGGUAUUCGAAUAUAUAACUUCCCUGCAGGGGUGCACCACGUUACCCAACACGCUCGAUCACUCUGGCCGGACACACCUUUCUGGGGUCAAUGCCCGCCCUCGGAAGAUCAACACAUCGCAGCCCGACCUAGGCUCAGCAGAGAGGUCCCCGCCGGUCUACAUCCUAAGCACUCCGGGGUCUUGGGCCCAUCGCCCGUAGCACUCCGGGUCAUUGCGCACAGGGUGAAUACCAGCACCACCUCGGAUGGCCAGCACGAUCCAACCGUGCCACACUACUGAACUGGACGUCUGACAAAGCUUCGGCUGAUACUGCGACGUCGAGGCCCAUAUCUAUUCUCGCGUGGUGGUUAGUGCGUAAAGGCCAGAGGCCAACUCAGAACAAAUACCCAAACCAUAGUGUAUUAUUAGCUUCCGGAGAUGAGCAGAGACUCACGAUCGAAAGUGACCCCGUCGCCCCGUCUCGUGGACUUACGACAAGGGCUCAGAAUGCCCGGCCGUGCCACGUCAUUAUCUUGCGGGUGCUCUCCGGGCCCGCCCGACUUUCACCAAGGUCUCAAGUAAAGUCAAGGUAACCGUGUGUCCAAACAUCAAGGGGAAAACCCAAGGAAUCACCCUCGAUGGAUUCCACUCAAUGUAAUCAUCAAGGUGAACGUAAGAGGGACCACCCCCGAGGUUCUCACUUGAGGUGUUGAACGAUAGAGCUGUAUCAGGAAUGGUGAAAGAGGAAAUCACCCUCAAUGACCACGACCGAAUAGCUACACUACAGAAUUAUCAUCAGGAGUGCGUUAUGAGGGAUCACCCUCGGCACUCGAUAGUAGCUCUGCAGAGUCGAGCAACUAAAGGGGCGUGAUGCGAUGUGAGGUGUCGGGCUCUGGUCGUCGAUCACGUCGAUCGAGGCGUUGAUGAUGAAGUAGAGGCAACAAGGACAAGUGGGGGGGGGUCACUGAUGGAUCACUAGCCAACCUAUACUAAGCAGUUUAGGAUAAGCAGGUAGGUAACAAUAGCAGGUACAAAAGCAGGCUAUGCAUCAGAAUAGGAGCAAACAAUAACAGUAGCAAAAUCUAAUGCAAGCAUGAGAGUAUAGGAUGGGCGAUAUCGGGAUGAUCAAAGGGGGGCCUUGCCUGGUUGCUCAAACAAGAAGGAGGGUCGUCGUCGACGUAGUCGAUCACAGUGGCAUCAGCAGCGGUCUCGGGGUCUAAUGGAGAGAAGAGGGGGAAAGAAACAGUAAAUAUAAAGCACACAGAUACAUUACUAAGCAUGACAUGACGAAACGCGGUGCUAGGGGUGUUCUAACGCAGUGCUACACGAUACUGGCGAAGGAGGGAAACAUCCGGGUAUGUUUUCCCGAAGUUUGGUAUUUUCGGGCAGACGAAACGGAGGGGGAAGGUUGCAUGUUUGCUAUGCUAGAGGCAUGUGACAGAUGAACAGAGAGCGUAUUCGGAUUUGUCUCGUCGUUCUGAGCAACUUUCAUGUAGAAAGUUUUUCGAUCCGAGCUACAGUUUAAUUUCUAUGAUUUUCUGAAGUUUUAAUGAUAUCCUGAAAUUAAUAUUAAUUCGAAAUAAAAGGGAAAUUGCUAGGUGCACCCGGUGCAGUGCACCCAACAGUGCACAAGAGGAUGACAGUGGGUCCAGGGGCUCCCAGUUGACCAGUCAACAUUGACUGGUCAACAAGGGGUGGGGCCCCUUGUCAUAGAAUAUUUGAUUAACUAACUAGUGUAAUUAGUUAAACUAGGUAAUUAGCCUAAUUAAACUAGAUUAAAUUAAUUAAUUAAUUAAUUAAUUAAUUUAAUCCUUAAUAUUAUUUUAAAAACAUAUAUUAUUUUUUUAUCCUUUUUUUAAAAGGGCAGGGCGCUGGCCCCAGUAGUCAGCGGCCCAGAGGCCUGAUGGGGGCGUGGGUUACGGGUGUGGCGUCGGGCGCCCGUAGGGGCGAACCCGGGCGCGCGGAUGAAGGCCGCCGGGCUGACGGCGACGGUGGCGCCAAGGGCAUGUGAGGGGUGGCGGCGAAGGGGAGGAGCAGGUCGCGCGGCCAGCGGGGCGCCGGCGCAGGGGGCCGAGGGGGCAGCGUCCCUGGGCGGAGGCGACCGGAAACGGGCGUUGGGGGCGGUGGCGCGCGAGCGCAGGUGAGGCUGCGGAGGAAAGGCGAGGCCGGCGGUGGAGGCGUCGGCUGCGGCGUAUGGCAGCAGCAACAGCCCACGGCAGCGACGACCAACAGCAGUAGCAUGUACAGCAGCAACGGACAACAGUGCGGUAGCAAGGACAGACUAUGCGUGCGCGGGCGGCGUGCGAGCAUGCGCGGAAGGAGAGCUUCGGCCAUGGUGGACUGCGGAGCCAAAGCUCGCGUGUAACGGCGCUACGACGACUACAUCGACGAGGGAAAAGGGAAACGGGUUGGUGCUCACCGAGCAGGCGCAAGGAGGCCCGUCGAGUGGCUUAGGAGCAGCAGAGGUGGCCGGCGUCGUCGUGGUCCGUCGGCGACCCGACGAGCAAGAAGCUU
rnacentral:lncRNA from 1 species